CUCAUUUGUGGCUUUAAGUAGUGACCAAAUUGGCUAAAAGUCCCAAAGAUAAAACAUGUUUGACAUGUUGCUUCAGGAGGAAGUUUGGAACACUUGGUGAACUUCUUGAGAAAUAAGUAAGUGGGCACCCACAAGAUACUACAAGCUAUUGGAGGCGUUCAGUAUAUCAAAUCAGAAAAUUGAGCAAAGUACUGAGGAUCACAGAGGACAGAUCAGUCAACUCUGCCUGUGAUAUUCACAAACAAAGUCUUCAUAGAAGAGUCAUACACAUUCAGUGGAAGAAAGAUGUUUAAUCAACUGCACUCAGGAGACUCUCUUAAAGUUAAUGGUCUGGUCUUGGAAGAAGGGAUAAACACCACCGUUAGAAGAAGUUGGAGCUUCCAUUACAGUAACAUGUGGCCCUGUGGUUGAGUGCUAGCCCCUGGAAUGUGGGCAGAAGUGACAUAUACUGAUUUCAAGCUUGACCCAUAAACUUCAGGGAGCAGUCCUCCGUGCUCUGUUUCCUCCUCUGGCUGGCUGGAAUGGAGACAGCUUCCAUGGCAUUAAUCAAAGCUACAAGGUGAAGAUAACAGAGUCUCCAAGAGCUUAGGUCCUCAAGUGACUUUGCAGAGGCUUUUCACCUCCUCGGUAUUGUUACACGACUAAAAACAUAAGCAUAA